CUUCAUUAAUUCAAAUUUCAGCCAAAAUAACUACCACUCUUCAACUCUCCGGCGGUUUCCGCAAUUCUCUCCACUCUCUGAUUUUUCUCCUACAAAUGCAAAUCUUGAUAAAUACGCAGACAUAUAUUCUUCCUCCCUUCAGCCCCCAAAUUCUCAUACCAAGCAGUGAGUUCAAGUUUUCAUCCGCCAUUGUUUUCCAGCAAAGCCAAAUUCUUCUUUACCAAAAGUGUGAACAAGAAACCAAGAGUGUGUGAUAUUUCAAUACCUUCUCUUCUGCAAAUUUUGCUACUUCCGGAAGGGUGAGCUUGUGCACGUUGGUUGCGGUUGGAAUAUGAGGUGAUUGAGGAGUAAGCUUGUGAGAUUGAGCGGCGAUGGACGUGGAGGAUGUUGAGCAGAGUUGUUGGAAAAUUAUAUCUUGUUUGGUUGUUGGAUUUGUCGAGUCUUCAUACUCCGCAUUUUUCCAUGUCUUGACGCUUCCGCUAAAAUUCUAAAUUUCCUUUGGACUGUUUUAUCAUUGGGUCUUAUUAUUCGAAGUUAGUUUUGUGGAGACAGUAUUCGAGUUUGUUUUAAGUUUCUUAGUUAAUCUUUUGUUUUGGUCGUGUAUA